rnacentral:rRNA from 1 species
CCUACGGGAGGCUGCAGUCGGGAAUCUUGCGCAAUGGAGGAAACUCUGACGCAGUGACGCCGCGUAUAGGAAGAAGGUUUUCGGAUUGUAAACUAUUGUCGUUAGGGAAGAUAAAAGACUGUACCUAAGGAGGAAGCGCCGGCUAACUAUGUGCCAGCAGACGCGGUAAUACAAUGGGGGCAAGCGUUACCCGGUAUUAUUGGGUGUAACGGGUGCGUAGACGGAAGAACAAGUUGGUUGUGAAAUCCAUCGGCUCAACUGAGGAACUGCACUCAAAACUAUUCUCCUUGAGUGUCGGAGAGGAAAGUGGAAUUCCUGGUGUAGCGGUGAAAUGCGUAGAUAUUAGGAGGAACACCAGUGGCGAAGGCGACUUUCUGGACGAUAACUGACGUUGAGGCACGAAAGUGUGGGGAGCAAACAGGAUUAGAUACCCUAGUAGUC